UACAGAGGGUGCUAGCGUUGUUCGGAAUCAUUGGGCGUAAAGGGCGUGUAGGCGGUUUGUUAAGUCAUGUGUGAAAUCCCUCGGCUCAACCGGGGAGCGACGCAUGAAACUGGCAAGCUAGAGUACCAAAGAGGGGGGUGGAAUUCCCGGUGUAGCGGUGAAAUGCGUAGAUAUCAGGAGGAACACCGAUUGCGAAGGCAGCUCGCUGGAACGUUACUGACGCUGAGACGCGAAAGCGUGGGGAGCAAACAGG
rnacentral:rRNA from 1 species